GUGUCCGCUCUUGUUGUGACUACUGUUUUUCUAGAAAUGGGACAAUCUGUGUUCACUCCCCUUUCUCUGACUCUGGAGCAUUGGAAGGAGGUGCGGGUCAGAGCCCACAACCAGUCGGUGGAGGUCAGAAAGGGUCAGUGGCAGACCUUUUGCGCCUCCGAGUGGCCAACGUUUGGAGUAGGCUGGCCACCUAAGGGUGCUUUUGACUUGUCACUAAUCGCCGCCGUCAGGCAAAUUGUUUUUCAGGAGGAAGGGAGUCGAUGUGGAAUCCGACCCCGUCAGGAAAUAGCGUUUGGCUUGGCUGGUUGUACAAGUCCAGGCGUGGACGAGUGUGCUUAGAGAUACUGGUGUCUUCUUUUUCUCUGUUGCUAUCUUGUUUUUGUUUGUGGUUUUUGUCAUGAGACACAGACACUGUACGUCAGAGGUAAAGUGAGAUCCCUCCCUGUCUGUAUGUCUGUGUGUCUGUGUGUCUUGUUCACUUGUGUGUCCUCCAUUGGACCACCUUCUGAUUCUGUUUUGUUUUUGGUUUGUCUGGUUUCAGGUCUGGUCUUGGUCCCAAGGAGUUGACUGAUUAUCUUGGUUUGGUUUUAGGCCGGUCUCAGGUUCUGGGGCCUUCCCAUGGAGACAGGUCCAUUUGGAUUGGUCAUAGUGACAGUAAGCUUCUCUGGAAAUCGCAUGUAAGAUGCCCUGUAUUGGUCUUGCUUGUGUUUGUCAUUUCUGUGGUACUGUGAUUCUAUAGUGGUUGCCUGAAAAACGGUUUCUGUGUGUGUCUUGUGUGUCUCUUUGUGUUCGGACUUGGACUGAUGACUGACGACUGUUUUUUAGUUAUGCCUUCUGAAAUAAGCCUAAAAAUCCUGUCAGAUCCCUAUGCUGACCACUUCCUUUCAGAUCAACAGCUGCCCUGCCUCCCACUCCAACUCCAGAGAGCAGCCAGCGGGUCACAGUGGUCCCGCCCAUGGACCUGGAGCCUAGGGAAAAAUGAGCUCGGAAAUCCGGAGCAAAUGAGGAGUGGUCCCUGAGAAGUCAGUGGCCCUGGAUGUUGUGGCUGCUGAAAAAAAAAAAAAAAGAAGAGGAGGCUGUUCGAGUAGCGGCCAAGAGCGCUGCAGGUUCCCAGGCAGCUUCUCAUUCCCCUGUCCCUCCCAUCCCGUCUCUUGUUAACAGAAAAACUGCUUUCACUUUAAGAUAAGUGCCGGUUGCAGCCAGCUGUGAGAGCUGCACUCCCGUCUCUGCUCUAAAGUUCCCUCUUCUCAGAGGGUGGCACCACCCUGAGUUGCUGGCAGUGAGUCUGUUCCAAGUUCCAGUGAGGGAGGCAUCCACCCACUUGGGGCUUCUGUCCAAGGUAAGGAGCACCUGUGAAUCUAACUGCCAGGCUCUGAUGGGGGUCUCGUCUCUGUGGGACUAGAAAGUGUCCCAACAAUCUGACCAAGGUAACAGGAAGUUAAGACAAAGACAGAGAUCAGAGUCAGAAUCAGAGCUGUGCUGUGAGACAGAUAGAUAAGAGAAGUAAAAUGCUGGUCACAAAAGUCAGGAAAAUUAGAAAACUUAGAUAGUACCUGGCAACAAAAGAAAGCUUUUGGCUAAAGAUCAACGUGUAUACUGUAAAGAAAAUGAGCACUGGGUGAGAGACUGCCCCAACAAAAAGAAGAGGAGCCCCCCUCAUGACCAAACCCUUCACCUGUUCGUGGCUAAAAAUAAAGAGAUAACAAAAGGGGUGCUAACACAGAAGCUGAGUCCUUAAAAGAGUCCGGUGGCCUACCUGUUGAAGCAGCUAAAAAAGAGACUGUGUUUCAUACUCCUCCACCGACCAGUGCAAAACAAGCUAAAAAGUUCCUGGGCACUGCGGGCUUUUGCAGAUUGUGGAUUCCAGGUUUUGCUGAGUUAAAGAGAUAAACAGCCCUUCGUAUAGAAAAAUAAAGAACAAUCUUAGAUGGCCUUGGAUGCUCUUGAGACUGCCCUAAUGUUGUCCCCAACUUUGGGACUCCUAGAUGUGACUGAGAACAAAGGUAUUGCCAAAGAAGUUCUUACUCAGAGAUUGGGACCCUGAAAAAGACCUGUGGCAUACUUGUAAGAAAUUAGACCUGGUGGCUGUAAGAUGGCCUGCUUGUCUGCACAUAGUGGCUUCUGGUCAAGGACGCAGAUAAAUUGACUCUGAGACAAAACUUGGCACAUGUCCUAGAAAGUGUGGUUCAGCCCCCAUGACCGAUGGCUGACUAACGCUCUUGAAAGCAUUAUCCAACUGUUCCCCUGACGGAUGGACACAUUGUCAGAGCUUUUUGUUGACUGAACGAGUGACCUUCGCUCCCCCUGCUAUCCUCGAUCUCACUACUGCCUGAGACUUCACCUACUCAUCAUUGUGCUGACAUUCUGGCAGAAGGAACUCAUACUCGAAAUGAUCUGAAGGAUCAGAUCAGCCUUGGCCUGAGAGUUUGAGCUGGUACACGGAUGGCAGUAGCCUGGAGGUUGAGGGUAAGCGGAAGGCGGGGACAGCAGUGCAGUGAUGGACAGAAAGCAAGUGAUCUAGGCCAGCAGCCUCCCUAAAGGGACUUCAGCCCACAAAGCCAAACUUGUGGCUUUAAUACAAGCUCUGUAAAUGGUAAAAAAAAAAAGUCUACACGGACAGCAGGUAUGCUCUUGCCACUGUACAGAGCAAUAUACAGACAAAGAGAACUGUUGACAUCUGCAGAGAAAGACCUAAGAUGCUGUGGCUAAAAAAAUCAGGUGGCAAAUCUAACCGCCCAGGCAUCCUAAAGAGCAAUGAUCCUGACAGUCUGAAGACUAUCAAGUUAUAGACAAAUUAAGACUGGUAAAAGAAACCCUGUAUGACAUAGUAGAAACUGAAAAAAGAAAACUAGUCCUCUCAUGAAAAGACAGACCUGACAUCUACUGAAAAAUAGACUUUACUGGAAAAAAUAUGUGUAUGAAUACCUUCUGGUUUUUGUGAACGUUCUCAAGAUAGAUAAAAGCUUUUCCUUGUAAAAAACUGAGACUACUCAGAUAGUCAUCAAGAAGAUUAUUAAAAAUUUUCCAAGGUUCGGAGUGCCAAAAGCAAUAGUGUCAGAUAAUGGUCCUGCCUUUGUUGCCCAGGUAAGUCAGGGUGUGGCCAAGUAUUUAGAGGUCAAAUGAAAAUUCCAUUGUGUGUACAGACCUCAGAGCUCAGGAAAGAUAAAAAAGAAUAAAUAAAACUCUAAACAGACCUUGACAAAAUUAAUCCUAGAGACUGGCACAGACUUACUUGGUGCCCCUUCCCCUUGCCCUAUUUAAAACUGAGAAUACUCCCUCUUGAUUCAGUUUUACUCUUUUUGAGAUCCUUUAUGGGGCUCCUGUGCCCAUCACUGUCUUAAAUGAUGUGUUUAAACCUAUGUUGUUAUAAUAAUGAUCUAUAUGUUAAGUUAAAAGGCUUGCAGGUGGUGCAGAAAGAAGUCUGGUCACAACUGGCUACAGCGAACGAGCCAGGUACCCCAAGGACAACUCACCAGUUCCAGCCAGAGAUCUGAUCUACAUACACCUGCGUCAUGCUGAGACCCUCAAGCCUCACUAGAAGGGUCCCUGCCUAGUUCUGUUUACUAAUCUGCCUUAUUCUGUUUUUGCUCCCAUGUUAAAGAUAGAGUAAAUGCAGUAUUCUCCACAUAGAGAUAUAGACUUCUGAAAUUCUAAGAUUAGAAUUACUUACAAGAAGAAGUGGGGAAUGAAGAAUGAAAAAUUACUGGCCUCUUGUAAGAACAUGAACUUUUUACCUCGGAGCCCACCCCCUCCCAUCUAGAAAACAUUUUUGAGAUAAAGGCUUCCUGGAACAACCUCAAAAUGAACCAGGUACUCCUUAGUUACGUAGGUUCCUUGAUAGGACAUGACUCCUUAGUUACAUAGAUUCCUUUGGCAGAACUCCCUAGUGAUGUAAACUUGUACUUUCCCUGCCCAGUUCUCCCCCUUUGAGUUUUACUAUAUAAGCCUGUGAAAAAUUUUGGCUGACCGUCGAGACUCCUCUACCCUGUGCUAAGGUGUAUGAGUUUCGACCCCAGAGCUCUGUGUGCUUCCAUGUUGCUGCUUUAUUUCGACCCCAGAGCUCUGGUCUGUGUGCUUUCAUGUUGCUGCCUUAUUAAAUCUUGCCUUCUACAUUUUA
rnacentral:lncRNA from 1 species